UGCAGUCGACGGCAGCACGGGAGCAAUCCUGGUGGCGAGUGGCGAACGGGUGAGUAAUAUAUCGGAACGUGCCCAGUCGUGGGGGAUAACGUAGAGAAAUUUACGCUAAUACCGCAUACGAUCUAAGGAUGAAAGCGGGGGACCGUAAGGCCUCGCGCGAUUGGAGCGGCUGAUAUCAGAUUAGGUUGUUGGUGAGGUAAAAGCUCACCAAGCCGACGAUCUGUAGCUGGUUUGAGAGAACGACCAGCCACACUGGGACUGAGACACGGCCCAGACUCCUACGGGAGGCAGCAGUGGGGAAUUUUGGACAAUGGGCGAAAGCCUGAUCCAGCAAUGCCGCGUGCAGGAAGAAGGCCUUCGGGUUGUAAACUGCUUUUGUACGGAACGAAAAGGCCUGCCUUAAUACGGCGGGCCCAUGACGGUACCGUAAGAAUAAGCACCGGCUAACUACGUGCCAGCAGCCGCGGUAAUACGUAGGGUGCGAGCGUUAAUCGGAAUUACUGGGCGUAAAGCGUGCGCAGGCGGUGAUGUAAGACAGUUGUGAAAUCCCCGGGCUCAACCUGGGAAUUGCAUCUGUGACUGCAUCGCUAGAGUACGGUAGAGGGGGAUGGAAUUCCGCGUGUAGCAGUGAAAUGCGUAGAUAUGCGGAGGAACACCGAUGGCGAAGGCAAUCCCCUGGACCUGUACUGACGCUCAUGCAC
rnacentral:rRNA from 1 species